rnacentral:rRNA from 1 species
AGUGAACGCUGGCGGCAGGCCUAACACAUGCAAGUCGAGCGGCAGCGGGUUCCCGCGAGGGGAUGCCGGCGAGCGGCGGACGGGUGAGGAACACAUCGGAAUCUGCCUGGUUGUGGGGGAUAACGUAGGGAAACUUACGCUAAUACCGCAUGAGACCCUGAGUCGACGGACUGGGGGUGAAAGUGAGGGACCUUCGGGCCUCACGCGACCAGAUGAGCCGAUGUCGGAUUAGCUAGUUGGCGGGGUAACGGCCCGCCAAGGCGACGAUCCGUAGCUGGUCUGAGAGGAUGAUCAGCCACACUGGGACUGAGACACGGGCCCAGACUCCUACGGGGAGGCAGCAGUGGGGAAUCUUGGACAAUGGGCGCAAGCCUGA